UGGAAUUAUAAGGCUUAGACA
rnacentral:piRNA from 1 species